CAAUAGCGUAUAUUAAAGUUGUUGCUGUUAAAAAGCUCGUAGUUGGAUCUGUGGUGUGCGGUGGGCUCCGGGCACUUGUUGUCUGAGUAGCUCGCCGCUGCCAUCCUUGGGUGGAACCUGUGUGGCAUUAGGUUGUCGUGCAGGGGAUGCCCAUCGUUUACUGUGAAAAAAUUAGAGUGUUCAAAGCAGGCUUAUGCCGUUGAAUAUAUUAGCAUGGAAUAAUGAGAUAGGACUUUUUCGCUAUUUUGUUGGUUUGCGCGAAGAGGUAAUGAUUAAUAGGGACAGUUGGGGGUAUUCGUAUUCCAUUGUCAGAGGUGAAAUUCUUGGAUUUUUGGAAGACGAACUACUGCGAAAGCAUUUACCAAGGAUGUUUUCAUUAA
rnacentral:rRNA from 1 species